rnacentral:lncRNA from 1 species
CUCCAUUCUGCUCUGGAGUGAGGUUCCUGGUACACUACUCUGAGAAAGGUACUCCUGGUCCCUCAAUCUGUAUUGGAUAAAGCCCAAACUCCACCUACGGCCUGGCAUUCAAGGUCUUUCCCUGUCAGGCCUGUCCUUGUCUUUCCGCAUCCAUCUCCUGCUGUAGCUUCAUCUACCUAUGCUCAAACCAGAUAUGAUAAACAAUUGUUGAAAACGUUCCUAUCAAAGGAAUCUUACGCAGAAUCCUAAUGUAUAGAGCAGCUAGAAGUGUAAUUGCUCGGGUCAGGGCACCCCGUCAGCCUGUCCUGCCUGCACAGCACUCCCAGAGCCACAUUCCAGGCCUACAGGCCCAGUGCAGUUUGAAAAAGUAUUGCUUCAUCAUCAUGUGUUGCUACCUCCCUUCCAACUUCCUAACCUUUGCCCUUGCAACUCAUUCCUCUGUUUCCGCAGCCCCAUGCCCUCUCAUUCUUGGAGAAUUAACCAUGUCCUUCUUGGUAAUGUGGAAAUUUUUGUCCCUGCAUUAUGUCCCCCAUAGUCAGGAGCCUCUGUAGGGCAGGAUUCAU